UACGGAGGGGGCUAGCGUUGUUCGGAAUUACUGGGCGUAAAGCGCACGUAGGCGGACCUACAAGUCGGGGGUGAAAUCCCGGGGCUCAACCCCGGAACUGCCUUCGAAACUGUCGGUCUGGAGUCCGAGAGAGGUGAGUGGAAUUCCGAGUGUAGAGGUGAAAUUCGUAGAUAUUCGGAGGAACACCAGUGGCGAAGGCGGCUCACUGGCUCGGUACUGACGCUGAGGUGCGAAAGCGUGGGGAGCAAACAGG
rnacentral:rRNA from 2 species